rnacentral:rRNA from 1 species
UACAGAGGGGGCAAGCGUUGUUCGGAAUUACUGGGCGUAAAGGGCGUAGGCGGCCUGCUAAGUCGAACGUGAAAUCCCCGAGCUCAACUCGGGAACUGCGUCCGAUACUGGCAGGCUUGAAUCCGGGAGAGGGAUGCGGAAUUCCAGGUGUAGCGGUGAAAUGCGUAGAUAUCUGGAGGAACACCGGUGGCGAAGGCGGCAUCCUGGACCGGCAUUGACGCUGAGGCGCGAAAGCCAGGGGAGCAAACGGG